rnacentral:lncRNA from 1 species
CAAACUCAAGCUUCUAUAUCACGUCUUGUUAGAAAAGAAGUCUGUUUGUUUACAUUUUUGAUCAUAUUCACUCGAAAAAAACGUGGUCACACUCGAAAAAAAAGCCCGAUCAAAUCACUCGAAAAACCUCGAUCCUAGCCGGACACUAUACCUACCGUGUCGUUCUUCAAUAAAAAUCACGCCUAACUCAUUCUGUGUAAUCAUUCUAUUGAAAUGAUUGGUUGACUUGAACUACAUUUUAAAACAAUUAUACUUCAGUUAAAUUGCAUAAUACAUUUGAGGAUAAUUGAAAGAAACCACGACUAGUGAUAUUGAUCAAAAUGAUUAUGUCACAAGUUAAAAACAAUGUACCGUAAAACAAAGAUUACUUUAAGCUAAAGAUACUAUUUUUUUUUAUUUAAAUAAUGGUUAACAAUUAACAAAAAAAUACAUAUAAGAAAGAAGACAAAAAAAUCGAACUACAUAACUUAAACUAUGAUUUUAAUUUUAUGUAUGUUUAGGAUUUGCUAAACAAUAUAAAUUGCAUUUAGAAUGUUGACGAAAUUUGAAAUAAAAAAUGUUUAUUUUAAUUGAUAGUAGUAUCCGAAAGACCUAACCCAUGUGUUUUUACGAGGCGUUGGACUAUUGUCAAGUAAACAAUCAACAUAAAUGUAUAAGUAUAAAAAAGAAAAAAAGAUGUAUUAUUGCCAAUGAGACAAAUCUCCAAUAGAGACCAUAUGCCACAAAAAUUAACAACUAUAGGUCCCCAUACGGCCUUCAACAAUGAACAAAGCCCAUAUAUAACAUAGUCAGCUAUAAAAGGUCCAGAAAUGACAAAUGUAGAACAAUUCAAACUAGAAACCUAACGGCCUAAUUUAUAUACACAAAAAAUGAACAUUAUUUGUUUGUCCUAUAAUAUAAGACGUUGCAGGUUCAUAUCAUUUACAUUCAACGUUUUUUAUCGGAUUUAACCAGGUUCAACAUUGAUAGUAAAAAAAAAAUAUCCGAUAAAAAACGUUUAAUGUAAAUGAUGUUCAAC